rnacentral:lncRNA from 1 species
UUGAAAGUGGGGCUGUGGCACGUUCAGUUCAGUUGAGUUCAGUUCAGUCCCUCAGUCAUGUCCGACUCUUUGCGACCCCAUGAAUCGCAGCACGCCAGGCCUCCCUGUCCAUCACCAACUCCCGGAGUUCACCCAGACUCACGUCCAUCGAAUCAGUGAUGCCAUUCAGCCAUCUCAUCCUCUGCCUUCCCCUUCUCCUCCUGCCCCCAAUCCCUCCCAGCAUCAGAGUCUUUUUCAAUGUGUCAACUCUUCUCAUGAGGUGGCCAAAGUACUGGAGUUUCAGCUUUAGCAUCAUUCCUUCCAAAGAAAUCCCAGGGACUGAUCUCCUUCAGAAUGGACUGGUUGCAUCUCCUUGCAGUCCAAGGGACUCUCAAGAGUCUUCUCCAACACCACAGUUCAAAAGCAUCAAUUCUUUGGCACAGGGAAACGCAAAGGUUGUGGAUGCAUAAGAAAGACUGCACUGGAAGGAAAAAAAUAUAGUCUUCAAGCCCCUUUCUCAUCCACCAGAGACGCUGCGGUUCCAGGACUCCACCUCAAUGGCGGGAAAACCGCAACCUGCACUGCUGCUGCUAAGUCACUUCAGUCGUGCCCGACUCUGUGCGACCCCAUAGACGGCAGCCCACCAGGCUCCCCUGUCCCUGGGAUUCUCCAGGCAAGAACACUGGAGUGGGUUGCCAUUUCCUUCUCCAAUGCAUGAGAGUGAAAAAUGAAAGUGAAGUUGCUCAGUCGUGUCCGACUCUUAGCGACCCCAUGGACUGUGUAGCCCACCAGGCUCCUCCAUCCAUGGGAUUUUCCAGGCAAGAGUACUAGAGUGGGGUGCCAUUGCCUUCUCCGGCAACCUGCACUGCACACGCCCAACUCAGUGAGCAUGCGCAGUGUGUGCGGGCGCAUCCGUUGCUGCGCAUGCGCCUUGGUGCGCAUACGCCUUCCUGAGCGAUCUGUGAGGAGCGUUGGGCGUGAGACGGGUCUGUUUAUUCAGUCCCGGUUCUUUCUCACUACUUGAGACUCACCAGGUAGGUUCACAGGUCUGUCCUGUCUGGAAUUUAAGUGUGUGUGCGUGCGAGGGUAGCCAGUGAGUUUCGCGCUGGUCGGGCAGUGCCAUCUAGGGCCUUUGAGGAGGAAGGCCCUCAAGGUAGUCAUCUUUCUCCUCACAAGUGUUGCGACGCCAUACUUCUUGCCUUGGUGGGCGGAGAGGAAGGGCAGUGGGCAGAGGAGGGCAGGC